rnacentral:rRNA from 1 species
AUGCUGGGAUCCUACCAUCACCUGAGGUUCCUCGACACAUGGCGUAGUGCAAGUUUUGUCUUGAAUAACUUUGUUCCCCUAUUGCUGGCGGUGGCCGUACCUGCCGCUUUGUUUCUAGCAGCGCCGGGCGAGCUCACCGGCGGCCGGCUGCCCUCCUUGCCACUGUUUUAUGUUCUCGGGGCGGCGACCUUCUUCCUAGCGGCGGCGGCUGUGUCGUCCAUGUUAAGGCACGUGUGCAGGCCAAAGGGGGUUUACCUGGUGGAGUACGGCUGCUUCCGGCCCAGACCCUGCUAUCGCGCGCCCCUGGCGACCUGCCGCGAGCACGCCCAGCUCAUGCCCGACAUGUUCGACGAGCAAAGCAUCAACUUCAUGAUGCGCCUGAUCGAGCGGUCAGGGCUCGGCGCGGAGACCUGCGUGCCGGUGGCGUACCACUACAUGCCCCCGGACCGGAGCCUGGAGGCGUCACGGGCGGAGGCCGAGCUGGUCAUCUUCUCCGCCAUCGACGAGGCGUUCGCCAAGACCACGAGCUUCUUGAAGCCCUCGGACGUGGACGUGCUCGUCCUGAACUGCAGCGUCCUGGCGCCGACUCCCUCGUUCGCCGACAUGGUCGUCAACAGGUAUAAGCUCCGCGCCGACGUCCGGAGCUUCAACCUGUCUGGGAUGGGGUGCAGCGCCGCGCUCGUAUCGGUGGGCCUCGUCAGGAACAUCCUCCGGGUGGCGCGGCCUGGCACGCGCGCUCUCAUCGUGUCCACGGAGAUCCUGUCGUCGACAUACUACACGGGCACGGACCCCUCCAUGCUCCUCCCCAACUGCCUCUUCCGCAUGGGUGCCGCCGCCAUGAUCCUCUCCAACUCCCCGGAGGGCGCGCGUUUCCGGCUGGGCCCCGUGGUACGCACCGUCACCUCCGCACGGGACAAGGACUACGGGUGUGUGUACAUGGACGAGGAUGACAAGGGAAACACCGCCAUCCGCCUCUCCAGGAAUCUCCCGGCCACCGCCGGCGGCGCGCUGAGGGACAACGUCGCCGACUUCGCCCCACUCGUCCUGCCAGCCUCCGAGCAGGUCCGGGUGGCGCUGUCCGUGCUCAAGCGUAAGCUCCUCCUCCUCCUCCUGCUCCUCCCCGGCCGACGUGCCGAGGCGACGCUCUACAGGCCGGACUUCCGCACGGCGUUCCAACACUUCUGCAUCCACGCCGGCGGCCGGAGCGUGAUCAACGAGGCUCAGCACGGGCUCGGGCUCUCCGACGACGACGUGGAGGCGUCCCGCAUGACGCUGCACAGGGUCGGCAACACGUCCAGCAGCUCGGUGCUCUACGAGCUGGCCUACACGGAGGCCAAGGGCCGUAUGAAGAAGGGUGACCGGGUGUGGAUGGUCUCCUUCGGCGCCGGAUUCGAGUGCAACAGCGUCGCGUGGGUGUGCAUCAAGCCCGCCACCGGCGACGAUGGGGGGCCGUGGGCCGACUGUAUCAACCGCUACCCGGUGCAACUCCCAGAUGUCGUCUAG